rnacentral:rRNA from 1 species
GACGAACGCUGGCGGCGUGCUUAACACAUGCAAGUCGAACGGAAAGGCCCUGCUUGCAGGGUACUCGAGUGGCGAACGGGUGAGUAACACGUGGGUGAUCUGCCCUGCACUUCGGGAUAAGCCUGGGAAACUGGGUCUAAUACCGGAUAGGAGCCAUUUUUAGUGUGAUGGUUGGAAAGUUUUUUCGGUGUAGGAUGAGCUCGCGGCCUAUCAACUUGUUGGUGGGGUAAUGGCCUACCAAGGCGGCGACGGGUAGCCGGCCUGAGAGGGUGGACGGCCACAUUGGGACUGAGAUACGGCCCAGACUCCUACGGGAGGCAGCAGUGGGGAAUAUUGCACAAUGGGCGCAAGCCUGAUGCAGCGACGCCGCGUGGGGGAUGACGGCCUUCGGGUUGUAAACUCCUUUCGCUAGGGACGAAGCUUUUUGUGACGGUACCUAGAUAAGAAGCACCGGCUAACUACGUG